GGCUCCGGGAGACCGGGGCGCGGCGAGGGUGGAGGUCGGGGCGCCGGCGAGGCCAGCCCGGGGGGAAGAGGAGAAGGAACAGGUGCCUGUUGGGGGGGCCGCGGGAUAGGGGUGCACGCCCCCCUCACCCCCACCGGAGGGGGCGGCAGGCGCUCGGAGAAGGCGUUGAGCGGCCGGGGACCCAGCGUCUGAGGAGGGGGUUGGAGGAGGAGGAGGCCUCCGCGGCGGAUGUCAUCUGGUCAUGGGCGGAGCAGGUGAUGGAGAAGGGGAGCUUGACUCCGGGGUGGGAAGCCCACGGAAGGGAAGUGGAUUUCCGCGGGCACCCCGGAACUGGCCUGAGGGGGUGGCUGAUGGGCAGGAGCAAUGGAAAAGGUGGAGAGGGGUGGGCUGGGGCAAAGGUGGGCCACGCAGCUGAGAGGCAUCUUCUGAGAACAGGUGAUAAGAGGCCGAACUUGGAAGUUGUGAGAGAGGAGGAGCCACCUCUACUGGGACUGCCUUGGGAUGGGGAGUGAAUGGAGAGUUGGUAAGGUGGGCAGAGGCCCAGGUGUGAGCGGAGGAAAGCUACGGAAGGAGAGAGUCUUGGGAACCCUGGAGGGACACCCUGGUGAAGAGGUUGGAAGGGGAGACUGUUUGGAUAACUAGAUUCUGGACAGGAAGUCAUUGGUGACAGUGGGGCCUGGGCAGAAUCUUUGUAAGGGUUGGUAUCCUGUUUUGUAGAAUAUGAAGUGGCCCGGUGCCCUGGGUCACAUAUGGGGUUGGAGAAUCUACAAGUUAUGUCCAUUUUAAUGGGACUUUUUAAAGUUAUAACAUAUCUUGUUAAGGACUGAGAAGCGUACUAUGUAGUUUAUGGAAUGAGAACAUACCUAUCUUGAGAAGGGAGUGCUGUGGUUUGGGGAAAGGGGGAUGAGACACCUCCCUUUAGCAGGCAGAGGUGGAAUAUUUGCAGGAGGGAGUUGAAGGAAUGGCGAUAGUAUCGUUGAGGAGUGGAGUGGGGAGGAAGCAAGAAAUGGGAUGAUGGUAGGUGCAGGGAUGGAAAAUCUGCUUGCAGUCUAGAGCGAUUGUUCGAAGAUGGUUUACUCUGUGAAGCCAAUGUGGUUUGGGAUAGAACUAGAGACUUUCCCUUCUUAGAAAAGAGCAUAGUAGAGUGGGAAGAGCAUGGCGUUUAGAGUUGGUUUGGAUGUCGGGUUCACCACUUAACUCGGUUUACAACUAGACAAGAUAGUAAGUUUUCCAUUCUUUUCUCCUUACCUAUAAAAUAGGGGGAUUACCUUUUUCAUAAGCUGUAAGGAUUAAAUGAAUAACUUUACAAAGCACAGGGUAAACUGUAAGGUGCCAUGUUUUAGUAUAUUAUAAUUAUCUUAGGGAAACAGCAAAGAAAUGGGUAAUAUCUGAAAAUAAGGAAUGGCCUUGGGUAGAAGGCUUUAACUGAGUGGAUGAUUUGUGGUGGUUGGGGUUAUGAGAAGUCAGGAACUCAUUGUGUCUUCACAUAGGGGAAGAGGAUUGGUGAUUGAAGACGAUAAUUCAAAAGGGAACUUCAGUGAUGUAUAUACAAUCUCAAAAAGAAGAAAACUGAGAGACUGAGAGAAAGCAAUGCUAAAGCAAGAAUUAAAAUCUUAGUGAAAAGUUGUGACAACAUAUGUAUUUUUAAAAGACGUUUAAACUACUUUGUUUUGAGCAACAGUGAGCUGCCUCUCUGUAGCAGGGGAUUCGGAACACAGGAUUAGAAUGUUUCUAAAGAAUUAGAGCUUUCUUAUGGACAGAAUAAGAAAGGAAGUGAAGGGGCCCCUGCGUGCCUUGUGCUAACUCACUCAUCUUGAGCGUCUUAACACUCUGGCCCAGCUGAGAGUCCUGAUGACGAUCCUUCUGUUUGUACUGUGCUGUAGAGAGGCUGUGGAUGGUUCAAAGAGUAAGCACAGUGGCCAAGAAUUGGGGAUAAUGAGAGUGUUUUACUAGGUAGGUUGGCCACACACUGUGAUGUUGGAUGGCUCUGCUACUUAAAGGAGGGUUGUUUAGUGAAGUUUGACAGUUUAUAAGAUUUAUCCUCCUGAAAUACUUCCUUCAAUCUCAGGUCCCUUAGUUUGCUUUACAGGUAAAGAAAGAAGCUUCUUGAAAUCAGAAUGCUUAGCUCCUCACCUUUAGCAUGUUUUGAGAUGGAGAAAGUUUUUACAGCAUCUUGGAAGAGGGUGGUGUAUGGAGGGAAAGGAUUGGGAAGCCAGGCAGCUUUCUUCCUGAGUAGUUCUUCCCAGGUCAACCAGGCAAUAAUAUAAAGAACUAUCCAUGUGACAUUUAAUAUAUGCACCUACUUGUUUCUCACAAGUCCCUGGGGUAGGUGAUCUUUCCCUAUUUUACAGAGGAGGAAACUUAGGCUCAGGCGCCCAAAUGAUUUGUCCAAGAUACUUCAACUGUGGUGCUUUUUCUUCUUGUUGUUGUUUGGCAUGAAUUCUCCAUGAUUUUAUUCAUUCUCAUUGAAAUAUAAGUAUGGAAAAGGUAUGCCCAAAGUACAUGUAAACGGUUUUGGAUUGUCUGUCAUUUUGCAGUAUCUUUGUCACUGUUCCCUUGGUUUGAUCAACAAUCAAGAGUUGAUUUUUUUGAAAAUAGGUUUGCACUUUAUUUGUAUGUGGUCUUUAGGAAAAUCAACCUUGUGGAGACUACUGUGGUGGUAUGGAUAUGUCUGACAUGGAGUCAGUGAAGAAGGUAGGAACAUAUGAAAAUAGGUUCCUUUAGGAUUUUUGUGGAGUAAGACAUGUAAAUUAUAAAACAGGAUUGGCCAUGAGUUGAUUAUUGUUGAAUCUCAGUGGUGAGUCCAUUUAUUCUGUAUACUUUUACAUGUUAAACAUUUUCAUAAUAGAUUAAAAAAAAAGCUUCUACACAGAAGUUCAUGCUGUUCUCUGGUUUCUUGUGCCUGCUUUUUUCCUAGCAAAUUCUAUCAAAGUUCUGUUACCCAGCUGUGAAGCAUUUUCUGACCACCCCAACUGAAAGUAAGCUCUUUGUUGUUUUUUUUUAAAUUUAUUUAUUUUUGGCUGCGUUGGGCCUUCAUUGCGGUGCAUGGGCUUUCUCUAGUUGUGGCGAGACGGGGCUACUCUUUGUUGUGGUGCGCGGGCUUCUCAUUGCGGUGGUUUCUCUUGUUGCAGAGCCUGGGACUCUAGGUGCGCAGGCUUCAGUAGUUGUGGCUCGAGGACUCUAGAGCACAGGCUCGGUAGUUGUGGCGCACGGGCUUAGUUGCUCCGCGGCCUGUGGGAUCUUCCCGGACCAGAGAUUGAACCCGCGUCCCCUUCAUUGGCAGGCGGAUUCUUAACCACUGCACCACCAGGGAAGUCCCAGCUCUUUGUUUUUGACACUUGUUUUGUCUGCCUCACUUCUUCCUUUUCAAGUGUAAAUACCUAGUCUCCUCACUGGAUGGUAAGUGUUUUGAGGGUAAGGAUGCAGUUACACUAACCUUUGUCCUCCUCUAGUGCCUAGCACAUUGUCUUGCCCAUAGCUCCUGCUUAGUAAAUACUGAACAAUUGAAUAUGAUAGGUUUUCAAUGUGGUUCGUCCUUUGUUGAAAGAAUAUUAAAUGUAAGAGGAAGCUACAGAUAGAUGAGUGUUUGUAAUACAUAUACUUACAAAAGAGAGCUUUUGGUAACUUAGUUUCCUGGUGUCUCAGUGUUGUAAGAGUGAAGGGUACCAUCCCUUAAUAGUUUUAAAUAAAAACGAUUGACAGAAGAAAUUAAAAUAAUUGGUAGUAACACCACAGUCUUUAUCACGGGUCACGAUUAACCACAAGAUUCUGCUUGUAUCCUUUUUAUUCAUAAAGACUGAGGAAAUAAAAGCAUGCAUAUGAAAACACACAUUGAAGGUGCAAACUAGACUUUUAUUAAUUUGAGAGAAACACCUUGCUCAAUGUAUGUUUAUGAGCAGUUGUUUUAGCGUAAGUUCUGUGAGAAAUAGUACCUUCUCUCUUCUUGGAGUCAGUGCAGUACUUGUAUAUACCUGCACUUGAAUCUUGGUAAAAAUUACUUAUAUUAGGGUGAAUGUUGCUGUGUAGGGGGAAAAGGAAGUCAGUCCAUGUGAACCUCAUUCACAUGAAUUUCAUUACCAAAGUAGUAUCAUCAUAAUUUAUUGUGUGUUUUCUGUGUGCUGGGGCUUUACAAUCAUUGCUCAGUAAGGAAACUGAGGCUCAGAGAGUGUAAGUGACUUGCCCAAGGAUAUAAAUAGAAAAACGGUUCUAAGUCAAGACCGUUGCACACCAAGAUUCCAACACUGAAUCUAUCUGCUUCCUUGUCCACAGUCACUACUCUAAGCCAGCCCUCUUUUGCUUGAGUUCCUUGUUAGCCUCCUCACUGGUUCCCUCCAUUCUCCGCACAGUGGCCAUCCAUUCUCCUGAGUAGUCUUCUGACAGCCUAACUCAGGUCAUGUCAGUCCUCUGUUUAAAACUCUUUAAUGGCUUUUGGCCACAUUUAGAAUAAAAUCCAAAUUCAUUAGUGGGGCUCUUCAUGGCCUCAUUUUGUAUGUGUUUUUGAGGGAUGACAGAUAGUAAAAAAACUACAGGUUACACAGAGGUAAAAGUUUUUCUCUUUUGGUGCUCUGUCCAGUGCUUGGCAUAUAAUAGGUGGUUUGGCAAAUAUUUACUGAACAGUGAAUGAACAUGCCUCCCCCUGGGCUGCCUGUCUGAAGAUCUGUUCUAAGGACUGCAUUAUAUUGAGGUGAUAUGUUGUGUGACAGUGAACAUUGUCAAUGUCAGAUAUUUGCAAAUAAUGCUAAACUGGAGAAUGAAAAGCAAAGCAGAUCUCUAGAAUGAAUGGAAGUUAUAUCUGGUUUUGGAUUUCUGUUAUGUAUCACUGUAUCUGUUAUGAUCAUAUCUGAUUGUCUUGUGAUCAUUGCAUCUGGUGAAAGUUUUUCAGAGAGAAACUAUUUACUUGAAAAUGUGUGUCUAGCAUUAUAGACUUUAGAUUUGCUUAUUAUUUUUAAAACAUGUUUUGCCUGUAAAGUGCUAUGAUAGUAAUGUUUUGGGGACUUCCUGGUGGCGUGGUUAAGAAUCCGCUUUCCAAUGCAGGGGACAUGGGUUCGAUCCCUGGUCGGGGAACUAGAUCCCACAUGCAUGCCACAACUAAGAGUUUGCAUGCUGCAACUAAGGAGUCCUUCUGCCACAACUAAGACCUGGCGCAACCAAAAUAAGUAAAUUUGAAAAAAAAGAUAAUAAUGUUUUGGUGAUACAUGAUUCAAGCUAAAAUUAGCCAAAGAUAAGACCAUGAAUUUGUUUUGAAAUAACCUUCCUCAAUGUUUCUUAUGUUUCCUCAGUGUUGGGGAUCUGGGGACUUGGUAACCAUAUCAGCCUGUAAUUUAUCAAGUAGUACUACGAAUUAAAAUGCCUAAUGUUCAUGCAUUUCUCAAAAUAGAUUUCUGUGGUCAUUUAUUUUAGAGAUGAUAAAUGCCACUGAAUUGAGGUGUCAUGUAGUUCUGUAUAAUUGUAUUUUACUUCAACAUUAAUAACUUAUUUAGUUAUCAUCAUUCUUACCUGUUUCAUCAAAGCAUCUCAUGAAAAAUCAAGGAUGCCCUAAGAAGAAAACAUCUAAUGAAGUGCUGUUUUAGUUGGCUACAUUUAGUACCUGAAACUUUAUGUGAUUGCUGUCCUUGACAAUAGAGCCAUAAGUAUAAUUUUAUUUUCAAAAUUCUAUAAUAUAUUUUCUGGAGUUUAAUGGUUCCUUCUUAGGAGUUAAAGGAAAAGAGUGGUUUUAUUUGUUGUAUGUAUAAAUCAAGAAACGCUUGCAACUUUGAGUUUCUAUAGCAUAUUUUCUAAUCCUCACUUAAAGAGUUAGAGGCAGAGUGCUCCUUUUCUGGAAUUUUAACCUCUUAGAUGUCUAGAGGGGCUCCAUGUGACCAAAUUCAGUUUUCAGGGAAAAUCUACAGUUAGUUCCCAUGAUGUUCACAAUGAAUUACCUCUCAGAUUUUGUUAGUAGAUCUCAUUAGGGCCACAGCUUAAAAUAAAUCAGACCCACUCAUUUGCUGUGAUAAGACUAGAUUGAGCUCCUAUGAAAAAGUUAGGUUUGAAAAUACUUUUAAGACAUUAGACCGAUGAAUAUGUAGCAGCCAAAUAGAGACCUAAGAGAGAAUCCCAUUUCUUGAUUGGUCCGGUUCACCCUAACUUGGUAAGAAAACUUGAUAAUCUCUGUUUUGGAGUUCCAGGUUUGAUAAUGAAGAACCACUAAAGGAUUUUUAAAAAAUGCACUAAAGUAGAGGUGUGUUUUAAUUGCUUUUUACAUGUUUAUAAAUUAUACUGAAUAUAAGUGAUCACUCAAAGUAUUCAGUUCUGUCAGUACCACUCAUUAAAUUUUAUUUGAAAUCCUAAGAUAGGAUCUGAUUCUGUUCUGAUUUAUUUUUUUUCUUUUCCUUUCUAUUUUUUAAAUUAAUUUAUUUUUGGCUGUGUUGGGUCUUCGUUGCUGUGCGCGGGCUUCCUCUAGUUGCGGCGAGCGGGGGCUACUCUUCGUUGCAGUGCAUGGGCUUCUCCUUGCAGUGGCUUCUCUUGUUGUGGAGCACGGGCUUUAGUAGUUGUGGCUCACAGGCUCUAGAGCGCAGUCUCAGUAGUUGUGACACAUGGGCUCAGUUGCUCCGUGGCAUGUGGGAUCUUCCCAGACCAGGGAUUGAACCUGUGUCCCCUGCAUUGGCAGGCGGAUUCUUAUCUACUUCUUCUCUUCUUCCACCAGGGAAGUCCUGUCAUGACAUUUUGCAUGAAUCUUUUGCUUGUAUGAUAUCAAUAGUUAAUCUUAUUUAAAACCCUUGCAUUCUUAGAACAAAACCUGUUUAGUAGUAUUUAGUAAAUCUCUUGAGGUAUUGCUUUAAUUGUUUGAGUUUUAUCUAAGAUUUUCACAUCAUUAUUUGUAAACAAGAUUGUCAUAUAGUUUUCUUUUUUCAUUUUAUCUUAUCAAUUUAAGGACCUGUUUCCUCCACAGCACUUGGAGGUGAAUAUACCUGCCACAUUUUUGUUAGAAAUCUUUAAAUUUUCGUGUAAUGCUGUUGGGUUUUAGUGCUCUCGUGGGGGUAAAGAAGGGAUGAUUGUGUAACUUUUUGUUACAUUGGUCAGCGUCUUCUGUUAUGGAUUUGUUUCAUGUUUUCUUGUAUCAGUUUUGGUAUUUAACAUUUUACUAGCAUACUACUCAUUGAACUUAAGUUUUAAAAUUUAUUAGCAUGUAAAUGUGUAUGGUAUUCUCCAAUAAUUCUGAGCUCUUUUAUUUUGGCUCUUAUGAUUUCUUUCCCACUUCCAGCUUUGAGAUUUUUCUUUUCCCAUUUAAGUUUUAAAAUUUUAAUCAACUUUCUGAGGUAUAUUUGCCUACAGUAAAAUUCACUCAUUUUAAAGUAAUAAUUUGUGAGUUUUGGACAAAUACAUGCUAUUAUUGUGAGACUACAAUCCCAGUCAAGAAUAGGACAAUUCUUUCCAUCACUCCAAACAAUUCCCUUGUGCCCCUUUACAGUUAAUUUUCUCCUCUCACUCCUAGGCCCUUAGCAACCACUGAUUGCAUUUUGUCUCUCUCUCUAUAUAUAAUUUUGCUUUCUCUAGUUUUUCAUAUAACUGGAGCCAUACAGCAAUAGUCUUUUUUUUUUUUUUUUUGCGGUACGUGGGCCUCUCACUGUUGUGGCCUCUCCCGUUGCGGAGCACAGGCUCCGGACGUGCAGGCUCAGCGGCCAUGGCUCACGGGCCCAGCCGCUCUGCAGCAUGUGGGAUCCUCCCGGACCGGGGCACAAACCCGUGUCCCCUGCAUCGGCAGGCGGACUCUCAACCACUGCGCCACCAGAGAAGCCCAGCAAUAGUCUUUUGAUUCUGGCUUCUUUCACUUAGGAUAAUGUUUUUGAAAUCAUGUAUUUUGUUGGGUGUAUCAGAAGUUUCUUGUGUUUUUUUUUUUUCCCCCCUGCCUCAAGGCUGGCAGGAUCUUAGUUCCCCUACCAGGGAUUGAACCCAGGUCCUCAGUGAAAGCGCUGAGUCCUAACCACUGGACCUGCAGGAAAUUCCCCAGAAGUUUGUUCUUAAUUGCUGUGUGGAUAUAUCACAAUUUGUUUACCAUUCACCAGUUAGUUGAUGGACGCUGUUUCUCAUUUUUUUUUUUUUUUGGCUAUUAUAAAUAAAUCUGCUAUGAAUAUUCAAAUACAGGUCUUUCUCUGGACACAUGAUUUUAUUUCUCUUGUAUAAAACCUGACAGUGGGAAUAUUGGGUCAUAUUGUAAGCAUAUGUUGAAGUUUUAAAGAAACUGUCAAACUGUUCUUCAAAGCCUGUAGCAUUUUGCAUUCCCACCUGCAAUGUGUAAGUUCCAGUUGCUCCAUUCUCAUAGUGGAGAGUUUUAGUUGCUUCAUUUUCUAGCCAUUCUAGUGGUGUGUAAUGGCAUCUCAUUGUUGGUUUAAAUUUGUAUUUCCAUGGUGACCGAUUAUAUUGAGCAUCUUUACAUGUGUUGAAAUGCUAUAUAAAUAUCUAUUAGGUCAAGUUGAUUGAUAAUGUUCAGAUCGUUGGUGAUUUUUAAAAAUUCUAUCAAUUACUGAGAAAGGUGCGUUGAAGUUUCCAGCUUUGCAUGUUUCUCCUUUCAGUUCUGUGAGUAUUGAACCCCUUAUUAGGUAUAUACAUAUUUAAGAUUAUGUCCUUUUGAUGAAUCGACCCUUCCUUCAUUAUGUAAUAUCUCUCCUAAUAUUCCUUGUUCCAAAGUCUACUUUUGUUGUAGAGAUAUAGUAUAGUCUCCUUUUAUCUGUUCCAAGAUCCCCAGUGGAUGCCUGAAACCAUGGUAGUACCGAAACCUGUAUAUACUUUUUUUAAAAUGUUUUUUCCUAUACGUACAUACCCAUGAUAAAGUUUAUAAAUUAGGCACCGUAAGAGAUUAUUGUAAUAAAAGUUAUGUGAAUGUGGUCCCUCUCUCAAAAUACCUUAUUGUAUAAAUUUAAUGUUUUUUCCACCUUAGCUAAGCACUUACCAUUCCCUGUAGCUGUAACUUUUGCAGUUUGAGGUGUGAUGUCAAAAUGAGCAUGAAUUUCUUUUUCUUUCUGUACAAUUUCAAAAAUUCAUUCUUACUGUAGAUCUUAGCAACCUCAGCAUAUGAUUGCUUUUCUUAUGAAGUUGAAAACUUUCACCUUUUCACUUAAAGGAAGCAGUUUGCAGCUUGUCUUUGACGUGUCCGUAUUGCCAACAUCACUACUCCUGUGCUUUGGAGCUAUUAUUAAGUAAAAUAAGGGUUACUUAAAUACAAGCACUGUGAUACCUCGACAGAGCUAGAUGGCUGGCUAGUAAGUGACUAACAGGUGGAUACUAGAGCACACAUCUUUUUAAUAGUCUGUGUGAUGUAAUGGGAAGUUAUAAGGCGCUUAUAACUUCUUAUAAGUACCUUAAAUUAUAAGGCACUUACUUCUUCUGCAAGUUGAAGUUCCGUGGUGGUUUUAACAUGGAGGAUUGUUUGAGUUGCAUGCUGACCUAGCAACAUUUUUCAUGGGAUACCAUUUUUACUUGAGAGAAUAAUUGACAGAAAAACUGUUGUUAUUCAGAUUUGAAUAUUUGGCAACAUUUUCUCAAAAAUGAAGGAGCUGGGAGUAUUUGUUGCCAAUGAUAAAAUUUGAGUUUGACAAAUUACCACUAUUUAAAGACUUCUCUGAUGAGAUCAGUGGUGAUGUUAAAUAUGGAUUUUUGGUAUUGAAUAAUGAAGUGUAUCAAUGUUUUAGGAGUCACACAACACUAGUGAACUAUUUGCUGAGGAAAGAUUCAUGCAAAGUGCAAAGUAGACUGAUGGUUUUUAAUGUAACAGAGUACAAAAAGUUCAUUGGUAGGGUUUCAGAUUCCACACUGCCUGUAACCUUUAAGAAACUACCAUCUGUUGAGUUUUUUUUUAAUUAUUAUUUUAAUAUUUAUUUUUGGCUGUUUUGGGUCUUCGUUGCUGCGCGAGGGCUUUCUCUGGUUGCAGCAGCGGGGGCUACUCUUCAUUGUGGUGCGCGGACUUCUCAUUGUGGUGGCUUCUCUUGUUGCGGAGCACGGGCUGUAGGCAUGUGGGCUUCAGUAGUUGCAGCAUGUGGGCUCAGUAGUUGUGGCUUGCGGGCUCCAGAGCGCAGACUCAGUAGUUGUGGCACACGGGCUUAGUUGCUCCGCGACAUGUGGGGUCUUCCCGGACCAGGGCUUGAACCCGUGUCCCCUGCAUUGGCAGGUGGAUUCCUAACGACUGCGCCACCAGGGAAGUCCCCAUCUGUUGAGUUUUGUUGCAGUAUUGAAGAAUAUCCAGUUAUCUGAAAGGCUAUUAAAAUACUUCCCUUUCAGGGCUUCCUUGGUGGCUCAGUGGUUGAGAGUCCGCCUGCCGAUGCAGGGGACACGGGUUUGUGCCCCGGUCAGGGAAGAUCCCACAUGCCGCGGAGCAGCUGGGCCCGUGAGCCAUGGCCGCUGAGCUUGCGCGUCCAGAGCCGGUGCUCCGCAACGGGAGAGGCCACAACAGUGAGAGGCCCGCGUACCACACACACACACACACAAAAUUCCCCUUUCUUUCUUUCUUUUAUUUUAUUUUUGGCUGUGUCGGGUCUUAGUUGCGGCCCGCAGGAUCUUCAUUGAGGCAUGCGGGAUCUUUCUUUGUGGCGCACGGGCUUCUUUCUAGUUGCAGCCUGCGGGUUUUCUCUUCUCUAGUUGUGGCACACAGGCUCCAGGGCACGUGGGCUCUAGUUGAGGCGGGCGAGCUCAGUAAUUGUGGCGCGCGGCUUACUUGCCCUGCGGCACGUGGGAUCUUAGUUCCCUGACCAGGGAUCAAACCCACGUUCCCUGCACUGUAAGGCAGAUUCUUUACCACUGGAUCACCAGGGAAGUCCCAAUACUCCCCUUUUAAACUACAGAUUUGGGUGAGGCUGGAUCUUCUUCAUAUACUUCAACCAAAACAAAUGAUCACGUCAGAUUAAAUGCAGAAGUAGAUAUGAGAAUGCACUUCUGUUAAAGUAGGCAUUAAAGAUAUUUGCGAAAAUGUAAAACAGUGCCAUUCUUCUAUUUUUUGUUUGUCUUGGAAAAGUUAUGUUUCAUUAAAACAUGUGAUUUAUGUAAUAUGUAAUACUUAGUUUCAAAAUAAAUAUUUUUAACGUUCACGGUUUUAAUUCUAACAUAAAUAUCCAUAGAUAUAAUGUACAUAAACAAAAGUUUGAGAACAGCUAGCUACUUUAGACAUUAUGGACAUUAUUUUACAGUAGUACUGAUUGCAUUAUACUUAUUGUUGAUUAAAUCAUUGUUGUUUUUGAGUCUUAGUCCCUUCAAGUACGUUGCCCAAAAUUCUAGAAUUGAAACCAUGAGGAAAACAUGAAAAUGUUGAGAGCUACCACCCAAAGCUGUGGUCUCAAUCCUUUGAGAGUUAUCUCUUACCCCUAACUCUCUUGUAGCCCUCUUGUUCUUUGGUAUCUCGGAACUCUUGGGUAUCAGGGAUCCAGGUCAUAUUUUGAAGGGUACUUUCUGCUCUUCCCUCCUUCUCUGCCACAUCAAUUACCUGUGUUACUCCUGUAGUAUAGUUAUUGGCCUACAGUUUACAGUUGAGAGAUUGUUCUUCAGAGAUAUUUUAGGUAUCUUUUAAGUUUCAUAAUUUUAUUUAAGAUGGUUGGAAAUCUGCUGGUGGGAUUUUGUUCUUUACAUAUAUUAAGGCAAUCACGGUCUGGUGGGAAACUGAAUAAUAGGGGUUAGGAAAUCUGGAUUGUGGUCUUGAAUCUGCUUUUAACCAGCUAUAAAAUUUUUGUUCCCUUAGCUUCCUCAUCUGUGAAAGGCAGGUAGCAAUUACUCACCCUUACUCACACCUUACUCAUUCAGCAAAUGGUUGGUUGGUUGGUUGGUUGAUUUUAUGUGCUUGUUAGAAGAGAUGGAAAGAAGACUCGGGCAUGAAUCCUGCUCUCGAGUAACUUAGGGUCUAGUAGGAAAAGUAGUGUCAUUUUUGCAUUGCAUUUUGGGUAUUUACGAUGUAUCUUACUUUAAUCACUAGAAUAUAACUUUUUUGAAGGCAAAAUCUUAUUUUUAUACCCUUAAUAAUGCAUACCACCAGCAGAGCUUUGCAACUCUUAGGCACAAAAGCUAUUUCAAAACACAAAUAAUGAGGGACAGAACUAAUCUGUUAGGAGAUUGGAUUGUUUUAUAUGUUAUGAUUUCAAGGAUGUGAUUUUUUUUUAAUCAACCAGAGAUUUGAUUAUAUAAGUGUAAUGUCAGACAGUGUUCUUCCCUGCCAGUUAAACCAGGAUUCAGUCCUUUGCUAAGAAGUAUAUAAACAAAGACAUCUUACCUGUGUAGUAUCAUCAUAGGGCACUGUAGUUUAUUAUAACAAAGCAAGAAUCCACCACAACCUGUUUAACAUAUGACUAGAAACAUGGCUGAUCGCAUAGCUAAAUGAGAUCUAGACCACAUUGAUAGCAGUCUCUUCAGGAUUGGUUUCCAAAAAUCUUACUCUUUUCCUUUUACUUUAUUGCCAAAACCCUUUCCAAGGUUCUGUCCUUUUGGAACAUUCUGUGCUUUGUCUCCUUUCUUAUUCUAUUUUUCUUGAAUGUUACAGUACGGGAAUCAGCAAACUGUGACCUGCAAGCCAAAUCUGACCCAUCGCCUGUUUUUGUAAAGUUUUCUUUUAACACAGCCAUACCCAUUUUGUUUACAUGUCAUCUAUGGCUUCUUUCAUGCUGUAAUGGCAGAGUAGAGUAGUUGCAGCAGAGACUGUAUGGCUUGUAACACCUAAAAUAUUUACUAUCUGGCCCUUUACAGAAAAAGUUUGCUGGCUUCUGCUUCUCAAACUAUUUCUGGUAAUGUACCAGUUCCUCCUUCUUCCCUCCUCCCAGUUUGUCACAGACAGAUUUUUUUGUUAAAAUACACUAAAAAUAAAUUACCAGAUUAAAAAACCUUACAAAACGCAUGCCCCAAAUUUUCAUUAUUAGGGUCAACAGGCAUAAAAUUACCAAAUUGCUGUAAAGGUUUUGAAACAUUUAUUGUUUUUCUUUUUUUUUUUUUAACUUAACUUGAAGUGGAUUGGUUACCAAUGGUUCGUGGACCAACACCAGGGCUGAACCACCCUUUGAAUAGUCCUGUUUUAGUAGUCAGUGUAUUACUAGAAAACUUUGACAUUUAUACAAUUUAUUCACCCCUUUCAUGCAAGUAUUUUUGUAGACCAGGUAUAUUAUAUGUUAUAUACACUUGUGGUUAAGUAUGAUGAAUAUAUAUCAUGAAAGUGAUGUGACUCUUCCAGUGGUGAGCCAGAUCCUUCCUAGGUCAUUUGAUGUAUACUUUUAUCACCUCAGUGAUUGAGAGGACUUUUGGACUCUAUAUGUUUUUCUAUUAUGUUGAAACUUAACAUAGCUUCCUUAUUAAUAGGGACAAUAUGACUGUAGGCAUAAGUGUUCAAAAAAUUCUUUUAAAUCAGUGGUUCUUAAAGAAUUUCUGUUUCAGGUACUGUUGGUGGGUUUUUUUUUUUUUGAAGAAUUUAGUAGGUUCUUUUUUUUAAAUUUUUUUAAAAUUUAUUUAUUUAUUUUUGGCUGAGUUGAAUACUUAAAGAAUUUCUGUUUCAGGUACUGUUGGUGGGUUUUUUUUUUUUUAAGAAUUUAGUAGGUUCUUUUUUUUUAAUUUUUUAAAAAUUUAUUUAUUUAUUUUUGGCUGAGUUGGGUCUUUGUUGCUGCACGUGGGCUUUCUCUAGUUGCGGUGAGUGGGGGCUACUCUUCCUUGUGCGCGGGCUUCUCAUUUGCAGUGGCUUCUCUUGUUGUGGAGCAUGGGCUCUAGGCGCAUGGGCUUCGGUAGUUGUGGCAUGUGGGCUCAGUAGUUGUGGCUCACAGGCUCUAGAGCGCAGGUUCAGUAGUUGUGGCGCACGGGCUUAGCGGCUCCACGGCAUGUUGGAUCUUCCAGGACCAGGGCUCGAACCAGUGUCCCCUGCAUUGGCAGGCCAAUUCUUAACCACUGUGCCACCACUGUGCCCUGUUUUGUUUUUUUUGUUUUUGUUUUUUUGUUUUUUUUUGGCGGGAGGGCAAAGUAAACUACAUACACACACACAAUAUUAUAUAUAGUAUGUAUACUAUACUAUCACAAUUUUAACCUCAGUUACUGCUUUAUAAAAACAUUUAGAUUCGGCAGUCUUUAUCUUAUUUAGGUGACAUGUUAGCACUUAUCUUUAUAUUUUGCUUGUAGCACGCUAUAAAUUUAUACAUAAAAUCUCCCCAUUGGAAAGUUGUUUUACUGUGUCUCUGAGAAACAUGAUGAGACAGGAUAAAAAAUGAAAAUAUAACUCUGUACUAUAAGGAUCCUAAAUACAGUUAAUAAAUAAGGGGAACACUAAUAGAUUCUAAAAAGAAACUGGCUCUAAGAAGUUAAACAAAUUCACCAUAUGACCCUACAGUUUCACUCCUACUAGUUUGACUGCCUGUAAGUUCUUGGCUCACGUGUGGUUUCCUCUGUUGUCUUCUGCCAUGUAGCAUUGCUGUCAAAGACUAACGAUAUUCUGAUAGUCUUAACAUUACAAGUGACUUGGAUUUUUUGCCAGGAUGCCGGGACUUCUGCUUUUUAAAAGAUCCAGUAAUUAUACUAGACUGUUUCUCAGAGUUGGUCAUUAGGGAUUGACUGAUUCAAUAUAGAAUAUUUUUUCGUGAAAUUUUUCUUAAAUUGUGAUUUUUUAGUAUUUCUUACGUCGCAUUGCUUUGAUUUUUUUCCCCCCUUUGGGGCAUUAUUGGCAUUAUUAUGUCAUUUUCUUAAAUUUUUAAAGCUGAUUUUGAAAUAUAAAAUUAUAUUCAUCUGUUUUAAAGUAUUGUUUUUCUAGUAUGCUUUCAUUGUUUUUAGGAAUACUGUCUGUACCCCUCAUCCCCCUUUUUUGUUUUUUUGUUUUCUUUAUAAUGACUUUUAGGUGUAACCACACUGCUUUCCCGUGCUCAUUUCAAAGUUAGAUUAAUUUUUCUAAACUAUUAGAAAAAAGAGGUGAGUCGUGAAAGUUUUUCUAGCUUCAUGGUUCUAGAGCUCCCUCUUCUGAGUUUUUUUGUGGGAACCUUGUACUUUCAUACAUUUCCUGGCCCUUUCUCCUCCCAGUUCCGUAUCUGGGCUGCCUUCUUGCUUUACCGCUCUUGUCUCUAUUCUGCUUAAUUUGGAUUCUGUUCCCAGUAGUUUUUCCUCAGCACAAGACUGUUCUGAAAGGAGCUUCAGAUGGUUAACUUUGAGUUUAUAGGGCCCAGAUUACUUCAUCCCCUUCAGACUGCCAGUCUCCUUGUGCUCACGCAUAAGUUGAAAUGUGCAAAACUCCUUUCCUUUUCAACUGCUGUUCUCAGUUUGGCCCAGUGCACUUUCCAGUGAGUGUCUGUUGUCUCUUCGGGGUUUUCCUAAGUUCAGGUUCAUCAAAUACCCUGUUGCUUCCCUCUGCUUUUUCUCACACAGAUGGUAGUUCCACAUGAGUCUUUAGCAGUCAGUAGUUUGUCCCCACCCAGUUGUAUUCUGGGUUUCAUGAGAAUACCUUAUCACUUAGUAUUGUUGUAAAUGCAGGCUUUCAGUUUUGCUAUCCAGAUUGCUCCAUGUGUUUUUUAUGGGAGAAUUCAGGAGGAUUCAAAAACAACUGUGCCCUGGCUGCUGCCAUCAUUCUAGAAUCCUGUCCCAUAAUUAAAUUUCUUUAAUUUUUAUUUUUAAGCAGAAAAGUGGCAAAAAUUGAGGGCAGUAGUGUUUUGGUCUUGUUUUUUAUUUUCAAAUGUGUGUGUAGUCUGUUUAACACAAUAUGGUGGAAAAGCUCUGGUGUGAUACACUUACUUGAUCCAUUAGGGGUACCAAACAGAUUUCAAUUAUUUCACUUUGAAAACAUGAUUUAGUCUGUGUUUACAUGAUUAGUAAAAUUCAUAAUGUGUUAUUGGACUAUUAUUUGGUUUGAGAACAGUUAGAAAAUUUAAAUAAUGCGUGUUUUGUAAUUGUUUAAAACGGUAGAGAGGGAGUUGAAUGGAGGAGAAAGUAAGUUAGAAAAUUUUUCUGUUUUGUACCUACAUCUUUUUUUUUUAAUAAAUUUUUAUUUAUUUUUGGCUGCUCUGGGUCUUCGUAGCUGUGCAGUCUUUCUCUAGUUGGGGCGAGUGGGGGCUACUCUUUGUUUUGGUGCACGGGCUUCUCACUGCGGUGGCUUCUUUUGUUGCACAGCAUGUGCUCUAGGCAUGUGGGCUUCAGUAGUUGUGGCACGCAGGCUCAGUAGUUGUGGCUCACGGGCUCUAGAGCGCAGGCUCAGUAGUUGUGGUGCAUGGGCUUAGAUGCUCCGCGGCAUGUGGGAUCUUCCCGGCCCAGGGCUCGAACACGUGUCCCCUGCAUUGGAAGGCGGAUUCUUAACCACUGUGCCACCAGGGAAGCCCUGUACCUACAUCUUAAUAGUGAUAACUUUAAAUGAGUCCUUGGAUGGUAGUGUACAGGUGGUUAGUUUACUGUUAACCAUAUUUAUUUAUUUAUGUUCCUUAGUAGUCUGGCCUUAAUAUUUGCUAACAAAUGAUCUUUAGCAAAGUACUUAUGAUCCAUUAUUUGGGAUAUAUUUGUUCUAGAAUUACUCUCUUUGGAAUUGACAUCAGUAUCUGAUCUUUAAAUACCUAGGUUUAUUUCACUACUGCUCCAAGGAGGACAGUUUACUUCAUCUACUUUUACUUUGUGUGUCUUGUGAAUUAGUAUAUCUUCAGCUAUGGUUAACCAAAAAAAUCCUGAUUUGGCUGACUUAAACAGUAAGAAUUUGUUUAAUUCUUAUGGACAGGAAUUUUUAUCUAUUAGGCUCAUUGCUGUAUCUCUAGUCAGUGCUUAGGAAAUAUCUGAAUAAAUGGAAAUAUCUAAAAUAUCUUAAAUAAAUAGAUUAAAAUGUUAUUUCUUCAGCAGUGGUCAGGCAGCUAGCUCAUUGAUAGUUUCAAGGGGUCGUGUUCUUUGCCUUCUUCUGUUCUGCUCUCUUCAGUGUGUUUGUCUCAUCUGUAGGUUUGCUGUGCUACUAUUUGCAAGAUGGCUGCAGCAUUUCCUAGACAUUACAUCUCAAGACCACAUCCAGAGGCAGAAAAAAGAAACUUCUCUGCCUUGUGGUGUGUCCUUUUUUUUUUUUUUUUCCUGGUACAAGAGAAACCUUUUCCCCUUAUCUCAUUGGUCAGAAUUGCAUCAAACGCCUAAGCCAGAUCACUGCCAAGGGGACUGGAAUCCCCAGGAUUUUCUUAGGUCUGUGCUGUCCAGUAAGGUAGCCACUAGCUGCACAUGGCUAUUUAAAUUUAAAUUCAUUAAAAUAAAAUUACAGUUUCAGGUCCUCAGUCGCACUCACCACUUUUCAAGUGCUGACUUAUUGGACAGUGCAGAUAUAGAAUGUUUUCAUCAUCACAGAAAGUUCUGUUAGACAGUGCUGGAUUACAUUAAUCAUGAGUCACCCUUUGGGCCUUUCAGAAUUCCACUCACUCUUAAGACUGGAAUUCUCUCAGCUGCCUUCCAGGGACAUCUAUGUGGUGGAUAGGCACAGUAUCUGACAAUGAUAACAUCCUGGUGUGGCUCUUGGGCUUCAGGUACACCUCCACUCCUUGGAGGAGUGACAUAUUUUCUCCAUGUAUGAAAAAGAGUAAGGUUGUUUUACUGCUGGAAAGAAGACAGCACAUUUCUGAAGCAAGUAUUAUUUUACUUGAGACCAAUAACUUUUUUUGAAAAUAAAGCCUUGGACUUUCCUCGUGGCACAGUGGUUAAGAAUCUGCCUGCCAAUGCAGGGAACACAGGUUCAAGCCCUGGUUUGGGAAGAUCCCACAUGUCGCAGAGCAACUAUGCCCAUGUGCCACAACUGCUGAAGCCCGCGUGCCUAGAGCCCAUGCUCCGCAACAAGAGAAGCCACCGCAAUGAGAAGCCCGCGCACUGCAACGAAGAGUAGCUUCUGCUCGCCACAACUAGAGAAAACCCGGGCACAGCAACAAAGACCCAAUGCAGCCAAAAAUAAAUUUUAAAAAAAUUUAUAGAAAAAGAAAAUAAAGCUUUUAAGUCAUAAUGCUAAAUAGCAGGGACCUAUGAUGUACUUGAUAAAAAUUUGUUUAUAUAUGUUUGCCAGUUUCUAGUUGGGUGGUUGAAAAAUACCAUUAAUCUGUAUUAUUUCUGUUCAUUUAUUGUGCUAUCUGGAAGCUCUUCUACUGGGAAAGUCUACUUCAUAAGUUAUUAGAAUCAGAAGUUGAGAAGCUGUGGAGUACCCAAAAGGUGCGAAGUUAAGUUGUUAGGCCAUAAAUGCCUAUUAAGUUUGGACCUAACAGACUAUUAGGCAUUCCUUUUGGCCUAGGGCGUGCCAUGAGGAAGUGACCUACAUUCUAAGAGAGCAGUGACCUGAGAAGGUUUAGGAACCUCUGGUGUGGUCUAAAUUUUUUUGGUGACUUGAAUUUUGGACUUCCAGUGUGUUAAGAAGUUGUUCAAGAAAAAAGCAAGGGAGAAAGGCCAGGGAAUUACAAACAGCACUGUGGAGGAGAAGGCAGUAUGUGGUUCUGGUUUUGAGUCUUAGUUCUUUGGCUAACUUUAUGAUGCCUGAGAAAUUAACUUUUCUAGACCUACUUGAUCAUUAAUAAAAAAGUAAUGAUAAUACUGCAUGAGGUUUAAAUGAGAUAGAUAAAUAUGCUUUAUAGAAGUUAAAAUCUCUAUACAGGUGUGUGGUAGCCUGAAUAAUGGCCCCUCAAAGAUGUCCAUAUCCUAAUUUCUGUUACUUGUGAAUAUGGUAAAAAGAGAUUUUGCAGGUGUAAUUAAGUUAAGGAUCUUGGGAUGGGAGAAUGAGCCUGGAUUAUCCAGGUGGGCCCAAUAUAAUCACAAGGGUCCUUAGAAAAGGGAGGCAGGAGAUCAGAGUGCAUAGUAGAUUUGAUGAUGGAAGCCAGAGGUUGGAGUGAUGUGAUGAAGAGUAGGUGACCUAAAGAGUACAGGCAGGCCUCUAGAAGCUGAAGAAGGCAAGGAAACUAAUUUUCCCCUCAGAGCCUCCAGAAGGAACCAGCCCUGCCAGCACCUUGAUUUUUAGCCCCGUAAGGCUUGUUGUAGGUUUAUGACCUCUAGAAUAAGUUUGUGUUGUUUUAAGUCACUUAGUUUGUGGUAGUUUGUUACAGGAGUAAUAGAAAACUAAAAUAGGGUAUUACUCAAGUUGAAACGGGGAAAUUUUCUUUAAGAAACCAUUAGUUCAUUAUCCAACAUUCUUUUUCAUAGUGUGAAGUCUGGAAUAGCAGCAGUUGGCUUUUUAGACUUCCCUGCACUAUGGCAUAAACUUCCAUGGUGUGGGCAUGUUGGUGAUUUCCUUUGGCCUUAACACUCAGGUGGCUCUAGAGACUGAGUAAGUAAGUAGAUUUGAAAGGGGCAGUGGGGAGGACUCAUUAGCCUCUGGUACAUCUGAGAUAAAGAGUGUCUCCAGAAGGCUUUAAUUUAAUGGAAAAGGUUCUAAGAACUGAGUUCCCUUGGUAGCUUCUAGAGCUGAUCCUUUACUGAUCAUCCAUCAUAUUUCCAAAUCUAGCUUGGUCCAGCAACUUACUUUAGAACAGUUUCUCCAAGCUUAAUAUACUUUAAGUUUGCACACCAGAGGGUAGUAUUUCAGAACCUCUCUGAGUGCAAACUUGGGGUUUUGCAUGGCCUGGUGAUUCAGCUGAGGGAAGCCUCUGACCAGCAUCUGCCUAAAUGUAUCUGUUACACUGUUAGGAAUGGUUAUUUUUACUGAAUCCUUGUCCACAUUUUUUCAGUCUUAACUUUUCCAAUGAAAAUAUUUUACACUAGAGUUAUGGAUUUAUAAAGCAGAGGCUAUCAUAAAGAAGUGGUGAGGCUUGAGGACAUGAAAACUUUAGGGGGAGGGUAUGUGUGAGAAGAUUAGGAGCCUAUAACCCAGAGUUGUUUUCAGGAAUCUCAGCUAAAUAGGAUUUGCCCAGUCCUAAAAGGUAUAGACCACAUGUAUUACUCACAGCUAACUAGAAUGCCUGGGACAAAGCCAGACAUUUUCUUGGAGAUACUCUCAGAUGGCACAUGCAAAAAUCACAGAAUAUGUUGGUCGCUGUUUUUUAGAGCAGCUUUGAUUUUCUAAGUAAAACUCAUGAUUUUUUAAACAGUUACCGUUGUAAACAGACCACCCAUUUCAUCUGCCUCUGUGGUGACCCAUUAAUCCAUUAGUAGCUACUUAAACAAUAGUUUAGGAAAUGUUCUGCCAGUUGGCUACAACUUUGUAGAAGUUGGUACAAAUUACAUGAAUUUUUUUACCUUUAGAAAACUGACUUAGAUGGUUUGAUAUACAAGAAAGCUUUUUAGAGUUGAUGAUCCCAUCUCUGGUAACUUUGUUAGAGGGAAGGGAGAGUAUUGCGGGGGUGGUAUAUGUAAGUUUAAUUCUACUUUCAUUAAUGUAAAAAUAUUUACAUACACUAAUCAAGUUUGCAUUACAUCCUGGGCCCCGAAAGAUGGUUAUAAAUAAAUAAAUAAUUGAAUGUCAUACAGACCAUCUCCAGCAUGCUCAUUUUUUUGUCAUUGGUGUUAUAUAUCACAGAGGUGAUAAAGAAUAGUUUAUAUGCAGAUUUUUUUGGAAUUCUUUUCCUGACUGUUUGCUUACUUUCUUCAUUAUUUCCUUAUUCUUUAGAUAUAAUAAGAUAUGCUACAAGAGCAGUAUCUUAAAAUACCUGUGAAAAACCUAGCCUUUCCCUUUGUAGCCUUCUGGGUUAAAGGUUGAUGUUUGGAAAUGAAACCAUUAGAAAGUAGUUAUAAAAAUUAUAAAUUUGGCUUCCUUUUAUCUUAAAUAUAUAGAUUAAUUCCACAACUAAUCUGUAUGUGAGAUACGCAGAUGAUUAAAGUAGUAUAGCAAUUCUAAAAUAAUACUUGUUAAGCUAGCUUACUUGGGUGGGGGGAGUGGGGGCAGGUAAAUUAGUUAAACUCUUGCCAUUCUCUCAAUGGUACCACUACUCUCAGUCAUUCAGACUGGACAAGAAGUAGCAGUGCUCAUGUCCCACCUUCCUUGCGCCCCUCCUGUUGAGAGAAUUUAAUUUGAGGUUCUGUGCAUAUGACAAUAAUUCUAGACCCAUAUGCAUCCCUGUAGUCCUCAGCCCGCUCCAGGGUUUUAGGAUCCAGUGGCUGUGGUUUGGCCUGUUUUCUGAGACUCUUUCCUUGAGAUUUACGUCCUGAUCCUGGUAUAUUAGAAAGAAGCCAUUGGAGAAAAUGAGGUUAGACAUUGCAAGUACGACUUUGCUUACAGUACCAACUAGAACAGCCUUGAGUUUCUCUGUUCUUUAAUUGUUCCUUCUCUCUAAUGGAUUCUGGCUGUUCUUUUCAUCAGGAGGUGGUUUAUAGUCUAGGUCAGAAUCUACUCUUGUACACAUAUACCACCUUCUCAUCCCACUCCAGUGUUGGUGAACAAGACUAGUUUUGUUUUGUUGCAUAAUGCCGUACUUCUCCUUUUCUGUCACCAGAUGUUCAACUGCUUAUAAAAAUUUUGACUCUGUCCCAAUAGAGGUUUUCCCCUUUUUCUGAGCAGUUCAGGUGAACACAGGUUCAUAUUCACUGCGGCAUUUAUAAAGUAGGGGUACACACCCAAGCUGAUUAUGGUAUGUAGGUGCAGAAGAACAGGAAAACCAGUGCUUUGCUAUGGAACAUUAAUUAUGAAUAUUGGCAUUAUUUUUUAAAUUAGUUUAAAAGCCGGUCAAAUGGCUGCUUUAAAAAUAAACCUAAUCUGUAUUUCCAGCCUCCCCAGAGAGACUAACUAGUUCCCCCUGCCUCUUUUUUCUUGUUUUCUUUCUCUCUGGUUAGUGUUGAAAUCAGUGUUAUAUCUUUUUUUUUUUUUUGGUGGAGGAUCUCCUUUGUUUAUUUGAAUCUCCUUUUUCCUGAUGUUUGGUUCUGUGCAUAGUGAAGCUUGAGGCUGUUGGUGUGGGUAUUCAGUGACAUAAAACUUCAAUUUAUUUGUGUUUAUAAGUCAGAAUCCUAUUUCACUUAUUCCUGAGCCUGAGGGGAAAUCUUAGAAAAGUCCAUUGAGAUUUAAGUUAUAAACACACUGCUUAAUUACUGCACAAGCUUAACCACAGAGUUUGCUGUCACAAUAUAAAUACCCAGAUGAAAGCCUGAGAAAAGCCUCCACACUUCCACCCCCGUGAACUCUGGUGGGUUUUCUAAUCCUGCCCUCUGUCUGGCAAACAAAAAUAUGAAAUCCAAUCCAAGAGCUUCUGUGAAGCUGGUUUAGAAGCCUUAUAAAUGGCUCAACUAAAUGCUCAAAACUCUACUACUUCCUUUCUGUUUUGCCAGCUUUCUCCAAGCCAUUUUGUUUUAUUUUUUAAAAAAUGGUUAUUUUUCUUGAAAACCUACUGUAUUUUACCUAAUUUGCUGCAAGGAUUUUAAAAAAAUAUUUACUUAUUUAUUUGGUUGCAUUGGGUCUUAGUUGCAGCAGGCAGGCUCCUUAGUUGUGGCUUGUGGGCUCCUUAGUUGUGGCUCACUGGCUCCUUAGUUGUGGCACAUGAACUCUUAGUUGUGGCAUGCAUAUGGGAUCUAGUUCCCGGACCAGCGAUCGAACCCCAGCACACUGCACUGGGAUUGCGAAGUCUUAACCACUGCACCACCAGGGAAGUCCCUGCUGCAAGUUUUUGAAACUCCAGUUUUAAAACUUGUUUCUCUUUUUGGUCUUAAGUAGCAUACACUAAAUAAGCAAAACAGCCCUGGCUCACUAUUUUACUCUCCAAAGCCUUUAUAGGAUAAAACAUGUUCAGUCUUUAGGAUUCUCACACAACUACUUUAAAGUGAAAUAGCAGCUGUGUGAGUAAACCAGAAACUAGGAUAUUUCAUCAUCUUAAAACAGUAAAUUUUUUUUAAAAAUAAAUUUAUUAUUUAUUUGUUUUUGGCUGUGUUGGGUCUUCAUUGCUGCGUGCAGGCUUUCUCUAGUUGCGGCAAGCGGGGGCUUCUCUUGUUGCGGAGCUCGGGCUCUAGGUGCGUGGGCUUCAGUAGUUGUGGCACGUGGGCUAGUUGCUCUGUGGCAUGUAGGAUCUUCCCGGACCAGGGAUUGAACAUGGGUUCAAUCCCUGCAUUGGCAGGCGGAUUCUUAACCACUGAGCCACCAGGGAAGUCCCAAAACAGUAAAAUUUUGCUUUUACUAUAAUUAAAAAUCUAUUUGAAGAGCUCGACAUAUACCUUUGAUAAAAUUAAGUGACACACUAAACAAAUGUGCCAUACUGUGCAUGCGUUUGAAAUGAAUUCAUGAAAUUAGAAAUUUUUUCACUUCAAAUGCUUUAGUUUUUUGUUUUUAAAUUUUUAUUAGAGUAUAGUUGAUUUACAAUGUUGCAUUAGUUUCUGCUGUACAGCAAAGUGUAUCAGUUAACACAUUUAUAUAUCCACUCUUUUUUAGAUUAUUUUCCCAUAUAGGUCAUUACAAAGUAUUGAGAAGAGUUCCCUGUGCUGUACAGUAGACCGUUAUUAGUUAUCUAUUUUAUGUAUAGUGUGUAUAUGUCAAUCCCACUUUCCCAGUUUAUCCCCCACCCCCUCCGCUUUCCCCCCUAGUAACCAUAAGUUUGUUUUCUACAUCUGUGACUCUAUUUCUGUUCUGUAAAUAAGUUCAUUUGUUCUGUUUUUUUUAGAUUCCACAUAUAAGCAAUAUAUGAUAUUAGUCUCUAUCUGACUUAACUUCACUCAGUAUGACAAUCGCUAGGUCCAUCCAUGUUGCUGCAAAUGGCGUUAUGAAAUUAUAAAAUUAUUUUAUCAGUCCCCUUAGUGUGGCCCUACUUUUCAGUUUUUCAGUCAUGUAAAAUAUUUACUGAACUCCAGUUAUGUGCCAGGCACUGUUGUAGGUGGUAGGGUUACAGCAGUGACCAAGGUGUCAAAGCCCCUGCUCUAGUGGAGUUUACUGUCUCAUGGGGAGCAGUAAACAAGUAAAGAAGGUACCAGGAAGGAAUUCUAAGCAGAGCAUGAAUAGAGAAUGAUAUAUAGUGAUUGGGAUGGCCCUGAAAUUGGGUGGGCAGGAAGUGCCUGUCUGAGAAGGUGACAUUUAAGCUGAUAUCUUAUUAGCAAGAGCCAGCCAUGCAAAGAUCAGAGGCAGCCAUAUUCUAAGCAGAGGGCCUAGUCCUACGGUGGAAAUGAGUUGGGUAUUCAAAACAGAAAUAUGGUCGCUGAGGCUGAAAGUGUUUGUGUAUAGCAUGGGGUGAGGGAGGGGAUGUUUUUAGGGAAUAAGGGUAAGUUUGAUGUCAGGUAGGCAGACAGGAGCUAGGAUUUUAUUGGUACAGUGAGAUGCCAUUGGAGGAUUUUAACAGAGGCAUAAAGAAUGGAAGUAAGACCAGUUUGGAGGCCAUUGCAGUAGUUUAGGGUAGAGAUGGUGGUGACUUGAAUUAGGAUGCUUAUAUUGGAGAUUGAACUGGAUUUGGGAUAGGUUUUGGAGGUACGGUUGAUUUACUUGUGUUGUAGAUUUUGACCUGAGUACCAGGAUGGCUGGUGUCUUUACUGAUAUGGUAAAACGGGGGGAAGAGCAGCUUUUUGGGAAAAAUCAAGAGUUUCUGUUUUGUCCAUUUUAAGCUCAAGAUACCUAUUAUUAGAUAGGCAACUGGAGAUCUCAAAUUAGCAAUUGAAUAUUGCUAAUUUGAACUCAGGAGUUCCCAGGAGAGGCCAGGUCUAUGGGUAUAGAUUUAGGAUUAAGCAGUAGAGAGCAGGUACUAUUGAAAACUGUUGGACUUUAUAAAUCAUGAGGGCAAUCGUGUAGAUUGAGAAGAGGAGAAGACCUAGUACUGCCGACUAAAAACAAAAAACAAAAAACGCACAACGUGAGAGUUGUGAGUUAAGUUUUAUUUGGAGCAAAAUGAGGACUGUAGCCCGGGAGACAGAAUUUCAGAUAGCUCUGAGAAACUGCUCCAUGCUCCAAAAAGGUAGGGGAGAAGGUCGGUAUAUAUGUGAUUUUGGUGAAGGGUGUAGUACAUGUAAUCAAGCACAUAGUUGUGGAGAAGUUUUCUGGUAGUCACGAGGAGCAGAUGCCACCAUGAAGGAUUUUAGUGCUUUUCUAGAUAUGAGGAGAUGCAAGAAUUGGGCUCCUAAAAUAGUCUCCUGAAAAUACCUGUUUGAAGACCUGUUCUGCCGGUUUUUCGCAGAGCACAGAGGGCCUCAUUUCUGAUCUCUGCCCUGAACUCCUUUCAGGGGUUGGUUGUUGAAGGUCAGCAGCUGCAGCGGCUCAUAAUUUAAUCCCUGUAGAGGUAAAUGGCCAGUGCCAAUUUGUAGGUGACCCUGGGGACUUCAGGAGAAAGAGCCAGCAAAGGUGACUGAGGAGGAAUGACCAUUGAGGUGGGAGGAAGCCAGUGGAUUGUGGCAUCAGAGAAACCAAAAGUUGAAAGUUUCAAGAAGGAGGCCUAGAAACCAACAUGCUACUCUGAGAUCAAGUUAAAUAAGAACGACAGAGACAUUGGUUUUGAGAAUCACUCAUGAUCUUGACAACAGCAUUCUCAGUGGAGUCAAGGAGAGAAUAGAUGUGAGGAAGGAGACAGUGAUUAUACACAACUCUUGAAUCACAAAGGAUUAUAUCAAGAGUAGAUAUAACAGGUAAUUAUGUUUUCUAAGAGAGAACAGGGAUAGCAAACAUAUACUGUGUUCCUAAUGCGAAUCAACAGAAAUAUCACUAUAUAAUUUAUACAUGUGUAUCCGCCACCUGGGGACCCAGACACAGAUUAGAACUCUCAUGGUGUGAAUGCUAUUGAAUGGAGCACCGGCACAGUGGUCCUUCAUGUAGCUGCACUCCUGGGGAUGUGCUAAGGAACUCACUCUACUAGUUUGAGGCUGUAAUUCAAUGUAUUUCACACUAGAAAUAGUGCAGAAUGCAUAGUUGGAAGGGGUGUGUGUGUGUGUGUGUGUGUGUGUGUGUGUGUGUGUGUGUGUGUGUGUACUGCCUCCUGCAGCUUCCAGAUCACUGCUCAGGUCCUGUUUUGCAUUUUAAAAAAUGCCUUCUUGGUGUUUUUUCCAUUAACUGAAUGUUUGUUAGAGCUCUGUCUUUAAUACUAUAUUUUUUCUUUUCCAGUAUUUUUGAAAAAUAAUUUGUUCAGGGACCUUUUUACAUAGGAACAUCUUCUAAGCUAUUGGUAAGGUUCCCCCCACUCUCUGUAACUUGGAGAGUAGUGUAAUGCUGUGCCACUAUCUUAGGUUGAGGAACAAGAGUUUCUGAUAUUUGUUUGUAGAUGUCUUUAACUUUGUGGUGCCCGUUGGCAUUAUUACUUUCAUCAAUCAAUUAGACCAUCAGAGAACUUUUAUGACUAUUUUCUCUUAUUACUCUACCUAAAAAGUAUCAACUUCUUGUGUGUGCUUCUGACCCAUCAUUUCAAAAAUUGAGCUAUUCUUUUCUGUUUGCCAUCACAGCUUAUAGCUGCACUUUUAUUUUCUAUCUGUACUGAGAUAGUCCAACAGAAGAGAUACAAGACAGUCUGUGUUGGUGAUCAAAAUAAAUUCAGCCUGCAGAUCCUUAGAUUUGCUAUUCCAGAUAGUAAGCUAGUAUUGUGGUGUGAAAGAAGCUUAGAAUGUAAUAGUUAUUAUGUCUUAUUUUGCCUUAAAUCCCUAACAGUACUGGUGCACAUUUAAAUGUGCAAGCCAGUAGUUCUGUGAUUCAGGCUAUUGAUUAGUAGUAAUAGGAGAAAGAUAAGUUAUGUUGAUGCUUAUUUUGCUUUGAAGAAAGAAGUUGUAAUUGCGAGGUAGUCAGAUACUGAGACUGUCUAACGGAAGGAAAAUUCAGUUAUCACUCUUGUGUCUGACCUUUCACUUUCCAAACUCAGAAACUGAAUAGAUUUGGAUAACAAAGCGUAGUUGUUUCUGUAACAUUGGGCUAAUUGUAUAAAGCACAGACUGGGACUUGCCCAGUUAACACAUUUUGUUUCAUAUUCCAGAACUUCUGACUUAUACAGUCAAGUAAUUUAACCUAAUUCACAUGAAGGAACAAACUGAGGCAGUUUUCUCUUUUCACUCUUCUAAGGAAAAUAUGUAACUUAGCCUUUUAUUUUCCAUCCUCUUACAACAUGAAGGUUUCAGAAAUCUAUAAUAAUGAAAAACUGAGUUGCAGGAAGGAGACAACCCAGAUGUUUUGCAUAUAAGUAUUCUUUUCACUUAAAAGUGCAUAGCAGAGGGCUUCCCUGGUGGUGCAGUGGUGAGAGUCCGCCUGCCAAUGCAGGGGACGCGCGUUCGUGCCCUGGUCCGGGGAGAUCCCACAUGCCGCGGAGUGGCUAGGCCCGUGAGCCAUGGCCACUGAGCCUGCGCAUCUGGAGCCUGUGCUCCGCAACAGGAGAGGCCACAACAGUGAGAGGCCCGCGUACCGCAAAAAAAAAAAAAAAAGUGCAUAGCAGAGAAAACCAGUGGAUAAUAAAUAUAUGAACAAUUCAAAGCUUUUAUUGUUUCUUUUUUAAAAUAACAGCUUUAUCUAGAUGUAAUUAACAUAUCAUAAAAUUCAUCCUUUCAUAGUACACAGUUCUGUGGUUUUUAGUUGUGUCGCCAUCAUCAUGAUCUUACUUUUAUUCCCCCCAUAAGAAACUCGUAUGUACAAUCACUCUCCAUUCUCCUAUCCCCCGUCCCCCACCCCAGCCCUAAGCAACCACUAAUCUACUUUCUGUCUCUGUUGAUUUGCCUCUUCUGACAUGUCAUGUAAUUGGAAUCAUACAAUAUAUGGCCUUAUGUGUCUGACUUCUUUCACUUAGCAUAGUGUUUUCAGGAUUCAUCCACGUUGUAGCAUGUGUCAGUACUUCAUUCCAUUUUAUGGCCCACAUUAUCCUUCACCACAAUUUGUUUAUCCAUUCCUCAGUGGUGGACUUUGUUUCCACUUUUGAGUGAUAAUGAAUAUCUAUGUACAUGUUUUUUCUGUGUGUGAACAUGUGUUUUCAAUUCUCUUGAGUAUAUACCUGGGAAUAGAAUUGCUCCAUUUUAUAGUCUAUCUUAUUGUUAAGUAAUAUAGUUGUCGACUAGUCCAUUGAAUUAAAUUAUCAGAUGUAUCUACAUAGUGAAAAAAUAAUUUAACCCUGGGGCUAGGGGUAUUAUUAUACUAUUUUCCAUCUUUGGUUAUUUAAAGAGAAAGACUUAAAUUAAAGGUGAGUUGAAGGUAGCUCAUUGGGUUUUUCGAGUCUGCCCGCUUUCUUGGAAUGAUAGCUUAUGUAUAGUACUUUGGUACUCUAAUUCUCAUUUCACAUUUGCUCCUUGGUAACUCUAAAAAUUUUAUCAGUUGAAUGUUUGGAAGCAAAUAAUAAAAUAGAAAGCCCAAUGGCUUAAGCAGUAAUGAGGCUUUUCUAGAACAAUAACUGAAAAGUCCAGGUAGCGCUGGCUUCGGGCAGGACUUGUUCCUUCACUCUUAGAGUUCCCUGGUGGCUUAAACAGAAGGCCCAGUUGAAUCUUAUUCGCCCUGUUGAUCUAUCUUGGGUUGUGUGCUUAUCUUUGGUCAGGAUUUGGAGUAAGCUAGAGCCGGGAAUGGGUACAAUCCAUGUCAGUGUUCUGUUAGGAAAGGAAGGAGGAAUGUGUGCUGGAAAAAUACCAACAAGUGUGCACUGCAGAGUCACACCUCUUUUUCUGUAGAGCUGAUAAGGAAAAAAUAAGUACGUAUUCACUGCACCUGAGUCUGUAUCUGAUAACCUACUGAGUUCAGAAAGCCCAUCUUUGAUCAAAAGACCAACCCUUUUCUUUUUCUAGGGUCUCCUGCAGAUCCUUUGGAUGUCUAUGCCGUUUUAUUCUUAAGUAUUUGUUUGGUAAAGUAUUUUAUAGCUUUGUUAAACAAAACUGGUUCCUUUGUUUUAAGUGGUAAGUGUGGGCUGUAUUCAUAAUCACUGUGUCUGAGAUUUAAUUCUAAAGAGACAGUGAAGAAUGUUUUUAUUACUUUUGCUCAGCGAUAGUCUUGUUUGAUACAAGGGUUGGGCUUUUAGUGACCAGUGCAACUUGAGUUUUAUCUGAAGCAGCUUUUCUACAUGACCCUUCCAGUUAAUUCUAAUAAGUAACAGGACAAAGAAGUGGGUGGAUUACAAAUGAUUAAGCAAUGCUAAUUUACAGUAAAGUGCUGUCUUAAGAUAGGAUGCACAGUACUAGUUGUACUUUGGUUAUCACAUGUCAGUGACCGACUAGGUGCUGAUUUUUUUGUGUUGUAGUGGUAGUUCUAUGUUCACCCCCACUGUAGAAAGAGUACCACAGUGUUAUUUGGCUUUUAGGUAUUAACUACCACCUUGCUCUUGACCGGAAGUCCAGCUGUGGUCUCCACCUGUGCUGAGGACCCCUUCUAGGUUUCCUGACCUGUGUUGCUUUCCUGCCUGGGAUCCGGAAUCUCAGAGCCUGAUCACCUGCAAUUCUAAUCUACUUCCUGGCCCUGGCCCUAGUUUUUAUUGUGCCCAGCCAGGUCUUGUCACUGCCCUACCAGCCCAUCUGAUUGCCCCCUAUCCUAGGAUACCUCAAGUCUAAGCCCCGGUUUCCUGAUUUUAUUAACAGAUUUGUCAUUACUGGUUGAGUUGGCUGACAGAACAGUGUCUCUCAGCUUUAAUUGUUCUAGCUGUAAAAUGAGGAUAAUACCCGCUGUUCCAUCAAUCUUAUAAGAGAUUUGUGAGGCUCAAAGGUUUUAUGUGUGAAAAUACCUUGUAAAGAAGUAAAAAAUAAUAAUAAUAAUACGGAAUUAGGUGGCUUUAAACAUCCCCCUCUGGGCAUCAGUGAGGAGAAUGAGAUGAGCAUUAGGUGAGUUUCAGCAUAUCAUGUGAAUUGUAUCCAAUUUAAUAACUUUCCUUGUAUAGCUCUGUUGGCCUUUUUUUCCCCCUGCUGGGUAACAACCUCAAAAACCUCACAGUGAAUUAGAACCAACAACAUUUAUUUUUGUUUAUGGGUAUUCAGGUUGGUGUAGUUCUGCUGAUCGAGGCUUUUCUAGUCUAGGCCAGGCUGGGCUUAAACUUCUGGCCAGGUUCAGUUCUCUUUCAUGCGUUUGUAUUCUGGAGCCUAGGCUGAGAAGCAGUGGCUCCCUGGGCAUGUGGCUACAUGAUCUCAUAUAGAUUUACAGGAGUUUAAGAAGGGUGAGUAGAAACAUGCAUUGUCUCUUAAGGCUUCAUCUGGGAACUAGCAUAUUGAUAACUUUCUCCCAGUUUUAAUAGACAAAGUAAAUUAUAUGGCUAAGCCCAGUAUCAAUGGAGCCAGGAAAAUACUGCUCCCACAGUGGGAGACUGCAAAGUCGCACAACACGGGUGUAUAAUUCUAAUAAGGAUGGAGUGAAGAAUUGGGAAUGAUAAUCUACUUAGCCAUAGGUAUUAUCCUAGGAAUAAAGGUGCAUAAAACUAUAUGUGACAAAAGCAGAUUUCUCUGUAGAGUGAGGAGAUUAGGAUUAUGUAAGAAUAUACUUGGGUACAUUUUAAUAAUCUGAUUAAAAUGAUUAGUAAUGUUCACAAUAAAUUAAUAAAUGAUGCUUUGUUUACUGCUAUGUCUGAGAAAGCAACCAUGGUGGUACCGUGUUCAAUUCCUCACCUCACUGUCUGAAGACCCUUGCUAAAUUGCUUAGCAAUUUUUAAUACUAGCCUCUUGCGUAAAUUUUUUUUUUAAAUUUAUUUUAUUUUUGGCUGUGUUGGGUCUUCAUUGCUGCACGCGGGCUUUCUCUAGUUGCGGCGAGAGGGGGCUACUUUUCGUUGCGGUGCACGGGCUCUAGGUGUGUGGACUUCAGUAGUUGUGGCUUGUGGGCUCAGUAGUUGUGGUUUGCGGGCUCAGUAGUUGUGGCUCAUGGGCUCUAGAGCGCAGGCUCAGUAGUUGUGGCGCACGGGCUUAGUUGCUCUGCGGCAUGUCGGAUCUUUCCCAGACCAGGGUUCGAACCCGUGUCCCCUGCAUUGGCAGGCGGAUUCUUAACCACUGUGCCACCAGGGAAGUCCCCUCUUGUGUAAAUUGUAAUAGGGCCUGAAAUGCCAGCCUGUGGUCAGUCUUAAAUUAUUAACCAAUUCUUAUUCCCAUUCUUUCUCUAAAACUUAGCAAACUACUAAUUGGUCAGUUUUUACAUCAGCUGUUACAAGACUUUCAUAACAGCUAGAAUAUAGAAGCAGUGAAAAGGUGAGGCAUUUAAAAUUAUAUUUAGAAACAUCUAGGUCAUCUAAGGAACAUUUCAGGAACGUUGUAUGUAGUUCCCAUAGAAAGAAUUAUAAAUUUGUUUUUGUCUUUUUUGAGAGUUUCCAGUGCUGGCAGAGAAAUGGCUUUUGUAGACUUUGAGGAAUCUAGGUUUUAAUGGCUAGGACAGUAUUUUCCCUACUAAUUGAACUAUGGAACUCUUUUCCACAAGAAAAGGAUAUUUUGAAAAACUAAGCUUCCAUGAGGUACAUUUUGGAUAAUACUGUUGUAGGCCAUAUUUAUUUAUUAGGAUUAGGUUUAACUAUAUGUAAUAAAAACUCAAGGUAAUAGUGGCUUAUACAGGAAACAAAUAUAAAAAAACACAAAUGUUUUGUUUUUAAAAUGCAGCUAAAUAAAUAUUUGGACUUACUUGAAAAAGCUCAUAUUUUAAUAUAAUGUAUUUCAGCUAACCUAGACUGCUAAUUUAAAAUGGCUCAUUAUUUUGUGCCACUAAAAAAGAAAAAAAUAUAC